rnacentral:rRNA from 1 species
AUUGAACGCUGGCGGCGGGCCUAAUACAUGCAAGUCGAGCGGAGCGGCGGACGGGGGAGUAAUGCCUACGUAUCUGCCUGGUAUUGGGGGCUAGCGUCCGGUAACGGGAGCUAAUAUCGUAUCUGAUUAGAUGACACUAGGACGGAUUAGCUAGUUGGUGGGGUAAAGGCCUACCAAGGCGACGAACCGUAACUGGUCUGAGAGGAUGAUCAGUCACACUGGAACUGAGACACGGUCCAGACUCCUACGGGAGGCAGCAGUGGGGAAUAUUGGGCAAUGGGCGAAAGCCUGAUACAGCAAUGCCGCGUGUGUGAAGAAGGUCUUCGGAUUGUAAAGCACUUUAAGUAGGGAGGCGUUACCUACAGAGAAAGCACCGGCUAACUUCGUGCCAGCAGCCGCGGUAAUUC